CCUUCAUCUCCUUUCUUCUCUUAUGUUUGUUGGAUCGCACUGCAUCCCAUCUUAAAAUCUGUAAACCUCUAAGUUUCUGAGCAUAAUGUGAUUGUGAUAGAACACCAUGUAAUUUCUUCAUACUUGAUUAUGCUCCUACUUGAGAAAUCGCUGCGGUCUAGGGUUAAUUUUGCAUCCUGGUAACUUAGUAUAAUUAUGAUUGCGAACAGGUAUCACCCAAUAGAAAUUUGGAUGGUCUGCUCUGGUGAUUGCAUCUCGUGAUUAUUCCUGUGUACUACCUAUAUUAGUAUAAUUAUGCAUCAGUGCUUCUGUACAAUCUUUUAUUCAGGUCCAAUCCUAUUAUUUAGUAGUUGUGUCUUUCUCGCUGGUCAUAGAAAUAAGUAUUUGAGAGAUUAAGUCCUGCUUUCUUUCUUUUCAAAAAUUAUAGCUUAUCCUGUCUUUUUGUUCCGAAAUAAAUACUUGUGGCUUCUUGCUAUUACCUCUAUUUAAUACGUCAAAGGUUUAUAAUUGUGAAGUAUCUUGGCAGCCUGGAGAACAGAGCUGCAGCGAGAUUGGAAGUGUUUGAUUGGUUAACAAAAGCUUCUAGGUGGAUAUACUGCAGCCUGCAGCUCUUUAGGUUCAUUCAAAUCUCCACGAUUUGGGUUAAGAAAAGCUGUGAACCUAGUUGAUUUUUGUUUUCAAUUGAUUAUUGUUUUCUCAUAUUAAGUAUUCUCUCGGCUAUCCAUGGUUCAGUUAUUAGUUUUCUCUCGGCUAUACUACCAUGCCAAUAAGAAAACCUUUUCUCUUUCAUCUUCUAUCCAUGAUUCAGUUAUAAGUUUUCUCGUGGCUAUACUGCCAUGCCAAUAAGAAAACCUCUUCUCUUCCAUUUUCCUGAAUAUUUCUAUCUGUAAGUAGUAACCACCCCCAACAAAGCAAAAUGAUUGCUUCCUAUUUUUUCCUUCUUUCCGUACAGUGAUGAUGCUAUCCUUUGUAGGUAUUUUUGAAGCAACCUCUUUUUUGAUCGCUCAAAGAAAAGCCCUUUUUAGAGGCCCGUAUACUGUGAAAAUAAAGUGCUCCACAAUCAGAUGCCAAUUUGAGCACUUCUAAGCUGAAGAAUGUAAUACCUAGGAGGUAUCACCUGCAGAUGUUGGAAACUCCAUGUGAUACAGUGAUAGCUGGUGGCAGUGACAAUGGACAAAGGAGGUAUUACCCUUGACUUCACAAUUUGCAUGACCUAAUCCAAACUUUGUUUGUAUAAUUCUGUCUGAACUGCUUUCUUGAUAAUUUGUAAAGUAUCAUAAGAUCUAAAUUGUUCAACUGUGGGGUACUUUAGGGCAUUGGAACCAAAUACUUGUAUACACUUACUAUAUUUUUUCCAUACAGUGUUUGAUCAAACGGACAGAUCUGCUAUAUCUUGCUAAAGGCCAUGGUUUAUUUUUUAUCAAGUUUCAUAGAAGUUCUGAAAGAGCUGGAACACAGGCAUUUCAGUCCUGCUUCAGAGAUGAACAAAUUGCAAGGCACAUCAUGCAUAUGUUUUGUUGUACAGUUGAGGAUAUGAUCAUGAGGAGAACGAAGGAUUAUUUGAGUGAAUGCAUUUCGGGAUAAAUUAGUCAUAUGUUCAAUUUCAGUUUUUUUUAUCCCUGUAUGCUAUCAACAACCAUGUAAAGAGAAUCCUUGUAACUGAAAUUAUUUAUCUAAUAAGAUCAUUCUCAAUUUUUUUUA